rnacentral:tRNA from 1 species
GCCUUCUUGGUGUAAAGGACAGCACGCUCGACGCGUAUUCGAGAAGUCCGUGGUUCGAGUCCCGUCGAAGGCG